ACGCUCGACACCUACGGGAGGUAGCAGUGGGGGAUAUUGCACAAUGGGGGAAACCCCUGAUGCAGCAACGCCGCGUGAAGGAUGAAGGUUUUCGGAUUGUAAACUUCUGUUCUUAGUGACGAUAAUGACGGUAGCUAAGAAGAAAGCUCCGGCUAACUACGUGCUAGCAGCCGCGGUAAUCUGAGCGGGCUGGCAAGGC
rnacentral:rRNA from 1 species